rnacentral:rRNA from 1 species
UACGGGGGGGGCAAGCGUUGUUCGGAAUUACUGGGCGUAAAGGGCUCGUAGGUGGCCAACUAAGUCGGACGUGAAAUCCCUCGGCUUAACCGGGGACUGCGUCUGAUACUGGAUGGCUUGAGUUUGGGAGAGGGAUGCGGAAUUCCAGGUGUAGCGGUGAAAUGCGUAGAUAUCUGGAGGAACACCGGUGGCGAAGGCGGCAUCCUGGACCAACACUGACACUGAGGAGCGAAAGCCAGGGGAGCAAACGGGAUUAGAAAACCCGAGUA